GACUUGUCAAGAACUAAUCUGUUUCCCCUCCCUCUGUUUUUCUAUCUCUGUUGCUCCCAUUUGAACAGAAGACUUUGUUGUCACAAACCAGAAACCUUUCAGACAAGUGGUGUGAAGACCAUGAACAAAAGGAAGCAGUGUCCAGAAAGGUUUAGGAUCCUCUGGAUGUCUUAGGGCCCACCUGAUGGAGACCCAAUUGCCCAAGAGAGCAGGAGUGCAGAUGACUUGCUGUUACUUCUCAUCCAAAAGCAUGGAGUUAUCUUCCAUGAGUAGUUCACAGCAGGUCACAGCUGGCUACCAGAAUGCACAGAUACACCGGUAUGUCACAUUUGCAGACCUUACAGCACCUUAUGCGCUUC